rnacentral:rRNA from 1 species
GAUCAACGCUGGCGGCGUGCAUGAGACAUGCAAGUCGAACGGACGACAAAGCUUGCUUUGCCGUUAGUGGCGGACGGCUGAGUAACGCGUGGGUGACCUGCCCCGAAGUGGGGAAUAACUGCCCGAAAGGGUGGCUAAUACCGCAUGUGGUGGUGCGUUCAAUCGCACCAGUAAAGCCGCAAGGCGCUUCGGGAGGGGCCUGCGUCCGAUUAGCUCGUUGGUGGGGUAACGGCUCACCAAGGCGACGAUCGGUAGGUGGUCUGAGAGGACGAUCACCCAGACUGGGACUGAGACACGGCCCAGACUCCUACGGGAGGCAGCAGUCGGGAAUUUUGCGCAAUGGACGAAAGUCUGACGCAGCAACGCCGCGUGAGGGAUGAAGGCCUUCGGGUUGUAAACCUCUUUUCUCAGGGACGAUGAUGACGGUACCUGAGGAAGAAGCCACGGCUAACUACGUGCCAGCCGCCGCGGUAACAC